AGGGCCGCGCCCCGGCCCCGGCCUCUCCCCUCCGCCCGGCGCCCCCAGCCUGGCGCGCCUUCCCACCUCGGGCAGCGCGUCCCCCACCCCGUAAUUAGCAUGGUUUAGUUCACAAAACCCUUCCUGGGAGAAAUCUGUUCCCUCUUUCCGGGGCUCGGUUCAGCACCUGAUUCCGCCGGGUGAGGCGAAUAAAUCACUGCGGCGGCGGCGGAGGCGAAGGAGCCGGACCCGAGCCCACCAGACUGGGGCCGCCUGGAGAACGAAAAAGUCGUGUGAUGCCAUUGAAGGACUUUAAGCAGGGAAGGAAAAAGAUCUGAUUUGGAGCAGAAAGACCACCGUGCAGGUGUGGACAGUGGGCGGGAGGUAGACAGAGAGCAGCAGAGACUGGGCAAGCAGUCUUCUCAGCAAGAGAAGAUGGAAGGUCUCAGAACAAAAAAGUCUGAGGGAGAUAGAGAAGAGAUGCGACAGGUGGAAACAGGACGCCUCCCCUGUAAGUUACAGAAGUGGAAAUCCAUGUAUCUUGUCUGGAGGGAACACUUUCCUCUUCAUCGCAUGGCCUUACCAGGCAGCCUCAUAGAACAAGGUGCACUAUAGAAGAAGGUAAUUUCUCACUAACUUCAAGACAGAGAAGGUGGCAUCCAAGAGUGAAAAAUGAAGCCAGCUAGUCCUGAGGUAGAUCCCGUCUUUCUUAGUUCUAAAACAGACCAGUUAUGUGACCUUGGGCACAUCCCUUGAACUCAUUGAGCCUAUGUGUCCACAUCUGUAAAAUGGGAACAAGAAUAUUUGCCUUGUGGAAUUGUUGGGUGAUAUUAAAUAGGGGAUAUAUAUUAACCCCUAGCGAUAACGUUUGACCACAUUAGUUCAUUCCCCAUGCCCAUCCCAGAC